CUUUGUCAGUAGCUGCUGCUUUGAAUGAAGCACUCUGCACAUGGCUGAACAUGGAGUUAUUAGAACAAAUAGUGGGAGGAAAAUAAGCUGCUUGCCUGGUAGAAGUACUGAACUGAGCCACUCUGGAACUUUCCAGAGAUUUCCUCCAGGAUGAAGAGAUUAACCUGUGGAAUUGUAGACCUUCUGGGUUGGAAGUGACCUCAGGCCAUUAGCACUGUCUUGUUUAAAUCUUUCCGCCUUGUUUGGAAGGGGAGA
rnacentral:lncRNA from 1 species